GAUGAACGCUGGCGGCGUGCCUAAUACAUGCAAGUCGAGCGAACAGACGAGGAGCUUGCUCCUCUGACGUUAGCGGCGGACGGGUGAGUAACACGUGGAUAACCUACCUAUAAGACUGGGAUAACUUCGGGAAACCGGAGCUAAUACCGGAUAAUAUAUUGAACCGCAUGGUUCAAUAGUGAAAGACGGUUUUGCUGUCACUUAUAGAUGGAUCCGCGCCGCAUUAGCUAGUUGGUAAGGUAACGGCUUACCAAGGCAACGAUGCGUAGCCGACGUGAGAGGGUGGUAGGCCACACUGGAGCUGAGACACGGUCCAGACUCCUACGGGAGGCAGCAGUAGGGAAUCUUCCGCAAUGGGCGAAAGCCUGACGGAGCAACGCCGCGUGAGUGAUGAAGGUCUUCGGAUCGUAAAACUCUGUUAUUAGGGAAGAACAAAUGUGUAAGUACCUAUGCACGUCUUGACGGUACCUAAUCAGAAAGCCACGGCUAACUACGUG
rnacentral:rRNA from 1 species